GGAUGUGAGGGCGAUCUGGCUGUGAUAUCUGUCACCCCAUUGAUCACCAGGGUUGAUUCGGCUGAUCUGUCUGGCUAAGCGGGUGUCCCCUUCCUCCCUCACCACUCCAUGUGUGUCCCUCCUGAAGCUGCAUGCUCAGUCGAAGAGGACGACCUUCCUUGAUAGAGAUGUACCAUUCAUUGGUCAAGGGUAUAUGGUCGCUGCGCUCCCCUGCUAGAACGUCCAAACAAGCUCAAGGUCCACUUAUAGGAGAACGUAGGGUAGUCAAGCUUCCAAGGCUGCAGACACAUCCAAGUGAGGCACUGCAUGCGGCAGGCUGCCUUUGUUU
rnacentral:snRNA from 1 species